ACUUUCAACAACGGAUCUCUUGGUUCCAGCAUCGAUGAAGAACGCAGCGAAAUGCGAUAAGUAAUGUGAAUUGCAGAAUUCAGUGAAUGAUCGAAUCUUUGAACGCACAUUGCGCCCCUCGGUAUUCCGGGGGGCAUGCCUGUUCGAGCGUCAUU
rnacentral:rRNA from 1 species